rnacentral:lncRNA from 1 species
GAUCCUGGGCUCUCUACAAGGAAGCUGUUGUCUAUGAGGGAGGCAGUCAGCAGUUCCUGCGUGGCUCCUGUCUGAGGUUCCUGCCAUGGCUUCCCCCAGUGAUGAGCUGUGAGCUGAGCUGACAUAAGCCCUUGUGUCCUAUGCUUUUGGUCCGAGUGUUUUAUUACAGCAGAAGAACAGAGCUGCAGUGGUGCUAGGAUCUGGUGGGCGGAUUGGCAGGGAAGGCUGUUAAGCAGGGUACGCGCAUGGAGUCCUACUGCCCUGCUCUAGUCUUGCUUCUGAACUUCCAGCACACACGUCAAUGUCAACUACGUUGAUGGGUAACUGACCUCGAGUUCUCGCCUCUUCGUGUAUUAAGGUUCAUGCCCAAGGUGCCACAGAAGCGAUGGGAAGGACGUCUGUGGGGAGCUUCUCUGUCCUUCUUCAUCUGCACAGCAGAGCUCUUUGGUGACAGUUAUCCUCAGAGGCCCUGGGUACAGACUUUAAUUGGUGGGCUCUCAGGACAGCAGCUUUCUGCUUGGAUUUUUAGUGUAUUUAGCAUGGAUCAGACUUACGGAGAAAGAGCCCAGAGUGUCCUUGGCAAUUGUCAGGGGAGGUGGACAGUGAGGUCACUCAGAAAUUUUCUUUAACAAGGUGGGAGAGAUGAUUUGGAAUAUGUCACCCUGAUGAUCCAGAAAGCAGAAAAGAAGGCUGUCAGGCAGAGCCCCUCUUGGCCUGGGGUGAGGAACAGGUGCGGAACACAUUUCAGCCUGGGGCCAGCUGCACCUGCUAUAUUUGGGGUCAGUCUCCUCCAGGCGAUGCCUCUGCAGGAUUCGCCAAGGGAAUCCCUGGAAAUAUCCAGCCACUUCCUCUCCCAGAUGGUAGCCAGUGGCUUGGGCUCUGACAGCAUUUGUGUUUGGAUUCAGGCUAGAUCUUGACCUACCUACACGGCUGUGAGAAUCCACCAUUGUAUCUCAGGAAUGAAACCAUUGUAUGUGUCAGAUUUUAUUUUUCAUUUAAUGCUUUUUAAAAAAAAAACAAAAAAACUUAAAAAUAACAUCUUGGGCUGGCGAGAGAUGGCUCAGCGAUUAAGAGCACUGAAUGUUCUUCUGAAGGUCCUGAGUUCAAAUUCAGCAACCAUAUGGUGGCUCACAACCAUCUGUAAUGAGAUCAGAUGCCUUCUUCUGGUGUGUCUGAAAAACAGCUACAGUGUAUUACAUAUAAUAAAUAAAUAAACCUU